rnacentral:misc_RNA from 1 species
UCCGGCUUAUCACCGACAGUCCCAUUAGAGUGCCCAACUUAAUGUGGCAACUAAUGGCAAGGGUUGCGCUCGUUGCGGGACUUAACCCAAUAUCUCACGACACGAGCUGACGACAACCAUGCACCACCUGUGAACCGACCGCAAGCGGGGCACCUGUUUCCAGGUAUUUCCAGUCCAUGUCAAGCCUUGGUAAGGUUCUUCGCGUUGCAUCGAAUUAAUCCGCAUGCUCCGCCGCUUGUGCGGGCCCCCGUCAAUUCCUUUGAGUUUUAGCCUUGCGGCCGUACUCCCCAGGCGGCCGACUUCAUGCGUUAGCUUCGGCACGGAGGGGGUCAAGUCCCCCCACGCCUAGUCGGCAUCGUUUACUGCGUGGACUAC